rnacentral:lncRNA from 1 species
CCGGUCAUAACAAAUAUAUAGUUAGUAAAAGUGUAAAACUAUUAGCAUUCGAACAACACCCUUAGAUAUGAAGUGCAAAAGCAGCUAUCUAAUUUUCAUAAAACAACAUGCUUUAUUCACCAUAUUGAUAUAACCAAAAUAUGAAAAUAUUGACUAAUUAUACAAAGUACAGAUGCAACUAUUGAUAAUACAGAUACCUACGCUUGCUAGCACCAAUAUAUGAAACAGCAUGUUUAGAUAUUUUCAUAUUGCUGCUAUAUGAAGGUAUUGAUCUGAAACAUUGGGCAGUGGGGAAGACCGUGGGAUCGGUCUCCUACCUCAUGUCUGUUGUCGGAACUACCUUUGGGCUCCCAACUACCAUAAGGAAUUAAUUGUACCUUACUCACUGCACAAUAUGAAGGGCAAUACAUGUCGAAUCACUCACAAAUCAAACCCAUAUCUCAUGUGUAUGCUAGCUUGCUGGCUUGUUGUUGCUUCAUAUGCCUUGUUGCCCUCUCUGCGUCACUCCGUGCUCAGUCGAUCCUGAAAUUCACCGAUUCCUUGUGAAAUCUCCAAUUGACAUAGAUCUGGACACACAUGAAGGGAAUCAAUACACUGAAUAUUAAAGGGGUAGUAACAAACAGAAUAUUUUUGGAUAUAGGGAACAAUUUCUCAAACAUUUGAUCUAACAGCGUAAAUCAACCAUGAUUAUUACCAUUAAUUUGUAUUGGUCAGCUUGCAAAAAGGGGUCUAUCUUCGUGAACAAACAAAAGAUGAUGGCAACAAUGAAAUGAUUAGGACAGAUUAUGCUAGUGAUCUAUACAGAGACAUGCAUGAUAGCAUGAGUCUAAAACAAUUGAUGUAUUUACCUAAUCACGACACGUCUAUUUUCAUAUAACUGAUAUAUAUACAAACACUAUGGCAGACUACACGUACCACUUUAACCAGGUUCUUGGGAACAACAAGUUAUCUUUUUAGAGAAUUCAAUAGCCUGGAUGGUGUGUGUAGGUGCAUUCACCAUGCCAUAGGGUGCAUCAGCCUUGUUAGAAUCAAUUUCAAGUUCUUGUGGCUAACUCCAAUCUCUUGAUGCAGACCUUUGUCAAGUACUCCUCGACCCUGCAAGAAACACAUGAAAAAUUAGCAUAAGAAAACAUGCCAUUCUAGUUAUAGAGAAUUGCAAAGUCAGAACAAUCCAUUUUGGAACAAACUGUCAGCAAUGGAUUACUUUUUCUUAAAGAUUAUGCCAAACCAAUCAAUUUAUAUGUAUGAGGUAGAUUUGCAACCAAACAAUCAACUAUAUAUUAUGUGUAUAGUGUUUCUAACUUUCCAUUUCUAUUAACCACACUAAUUUGUGAAUGUUUCUAAUGAAAACUAGUUUAGGUUCCGAACUAAAUGGAUCAACUAAUCAGUAACAGAAAAACAAAAUCAAAUUGCUAUACAUGUAACGACCAUCUUCAAAAGAUCAUACAUGCCAAAAAACCCAAGUACAUGACAACUUCACAGAUAUGAAAUUGUGCAGCAAGUAAGCCAAGAUUGAUCAAAAUUCACCACAACAUAGCAUGAGAAAAAAUACAGAGUCAUCGCCUCCGAGUGCACGGAUGCAACCAUGUGGAGGGAACGUGGCAGCAGCCUACUCCAGAGCAGGAGGAGGCACCCCUGGGUAGAACAUGGGCCAGAGCACGCACAACGUGUGCGGACAUGGGCGCGUCGAUGUGCGGCUUGGUACACCGGGAGGAAGGGGCAAACUGGAGGCGGACGUCGCUCGCCAAGGAAGAUCGCGGAUGAUGCGGACACAGCGCUGCCGCUGGCUUCAAGAGAACAGAGGCCAUGGGCGUGGAGAGCCGCCGCUAACCAGCCGGCGGCAGAUGGUGGCAGGGAACAGUGGUGGCAGGCGCGCGAGGGAUGGAUGCGACAAUGGAGGAGGAUUUUUCACAUGCGGUGGUAGAGAUUGAGAGGAAACAUAUGUAGGAGGAGGGGAGAGCCUAGAAGGAAA